CAUGGCAGAUGGAACCCUUCACCCAUCCUCCUUUUUCCUUUUUCUAACCUUUGUCUAACGUCAGAGCUGCCAGCAGUCCCUGUAUAAGCAUGGGUAAAAGAGUAAAGAAUCAUCACUCCUGAUACUGGUGAGCCACUGAACCAACACCGGCCACUGACUACCUCCAGAUUUCUUUUUAUUUGGAAACUAUGCAAACUGUUGGAAAAAACUGGAAUUGACUGGCUGUGUUUGGUUUGGACAACUCAUCGAAAUGAGAGGGAGCCCAGCACGAGUUCUGCUUGAGUGAUGUCUGAAAAUCUGGCCUCUCAGUCUACCUUAAAAGCCUACCUAUUUGGCUUUCACUAGAGUUCAGAUACAUAAAACAAAUAUCUUUGCUUUGGCUUCCCUUGAGUCAUAUCAAUCUACACCUCAUCAAGAAUAUGAAGUUUGGAAGAACAAAGAAGCAAUUGAGCAUCCUAAACUCAACGUAGGGCAAGUAACAUGGACAUUGAUACACCAAGUUCCUUCUUGUUUUUCCUUGAAAGUUGGCUUGAUGAAUGUAUUCUGCAGGGAUUUUAAAGGUGUGGAAAUGAAGCAGACAUCAAGGACUGCUGCAGUUUACUGGGGGUCCACUCCAGACCUUAGUUGCUUCAGUUUUUCCCUGUACCUGGAGGUAUCGUCAGUGAAGCCUGCAAAACAGCAAAGAUGGCAGCCUGCUCCUUCCUCUGGAAGCUCCAUCCCAGGGAUGCACUGACCUGUUGCCAGAAGGAACAUGCCUGUAGGAGGUGGCUGGAGACCCCUGCUGGGAGGUCCCACCCACUCGGGAGGAAUGGGAUCAGGGACCCACCCCAAGAAGCCCUCUGGCUGCCCUUUGGUAGAGUAGGUGCCAGGAGACCCUUCCUUGCCUGGACCAUUUGUAUUUUCCAAAGUUGGCAGGCUGGAAUGGCUGAGUUUACCAAACUGCAGAGAUGACAGCUGCUCUUCCCCUGUGAGCUUCAUUCCAGGGAGAGAUCAGAACUUUGUCUGUAGAACCCUUGCUUGUGUGGCUGAAGCCCCUGCAGGGAGGACUUGCCCAGUGAAGAGGAAUAGAUUGAGGUACCGCUUAAAGAAGCAGUCUGGCCAUGAUCUGGCAAGGCAGCUGUGCUGUGCUGCAGGGAACCUCUCCUUGCUCGAACUUCUUGUAUUCUUCAAAGCUAGCAGGCUGAAACCAAUAAAUUUAAAUUUAAAUAGGUAAAAAUAAGUAAAUAAAGAUAAAGAAAAAUAAAUUGACUGAUUUAUUCUGCCUUCAGGAGCUCUUAGAUGAUGUAGGAAAACAAAUAAUACUGUACAAUCAAAGUCGAAAUUCCUUAAGCAGAGGGUCUUAUGAGAACACAAAGGGAAGGCAACUGGAGCUUUACAGAUGACUUCCUAGACUAGAGAUACCUGAUGUGGGUCUUUAGGGUUAAGUCAUUAAUAGCAAGGCCAAGUAGAGGAAGAGCAUAUCCUACAGAGAAAAAAAGAAUAAGCAAAGGCUGGCUGUUGAGAGAAUUGCAAGUGCUUAGUAUGACUAUAGCGGUAGUCUCAACAGGAGCAGGACAUCCUUAGGGGAUGUUUUGAAAAAUUUUUGUGGAAUUUUCUUGGUCCCAGUAAUUAGUAAGCACUAUUAGCCUUAAAAUGAUAAAGGGCCACUGAGCUAGAUGUUCUGCAAUGGGCAAGACAAUUGCACACAAUGAAAAAUUGUCCCAAGUUCAAGUUUGGACAAGUUAGGGAUGUCCCUCCAGGCAUUUUUGUCAAUGAAAAACCUCUUUGUAACUGUCUUGGCAUAGAGCCUAACUCCAUAUAUACAUAUAACACAAAAUAUUUUUGCACAGUUUUAAUAUACACUAAAUUUUCCAGGGACACAAUUACAUAAAUUAAGGAAAGAUCAUGCUUUGCUGUGUUUGGAACUUAUCAAGAGUCAUUCACCAUUCUAGAAAAUAGCAUCAAAGAUGCAAUAUAGCUCUUGGUGUCUGAGUUGCCAGUUCAGCCAUCUGUGUCAAUCUGUAUUUGUAGAUAUUGCAGUCAAGGUGAUAUUAUUUUUAAGCAAAAGUGUCUGACAACUUUAUUAAGUUCCCCAAUGUAGCUGUGCCAUAGCAUUUUAGAUUAUUUUAAAUUGUAUAUUACUUUCCUUUUAUUUUUCCUCUAAUGAUAGAUACUUAGGGCAUUUUUUUUAAAAACCCAAUGAGAAGACAGGUUAUUUUAUCUAUGAGUUUCAUUUCAGGAUAGUAAAAGUGUAUUACAAAAUGCUGGUUGUAACAACGGGGACAUUAGGUUGCAAAGGACAGAAUGGGCUGGUAUGUCAGUAGCAUCUCUUUCCCCAAAGACCUCAGUUGUGACAUGUGAAACUCUAAUUGCUAUGUGAUGUUUCCAGUUGUAAGGGCCUGAUUAUGGUUUAAU
rnacentral:lncRNA from 1 species